ACCUCUACCUGGAUUCGCGACUCUGUCUCUCUGCCUCGACCUCCCAUUCGUGACUCUGUCUUCACUUUGAUUCGCCUGAGUAUCUCUCUUCUUCUUUCGUCGGUGGCUCACCGGAGCUCAUCAGUUGAGAUUUUAAAUCUCUCAGUAUUGAACUCUUCAUUUCAAUGGAUCCUGCUAAUGAGGUAGCCGAUCGUGAUGUUCCCAUGUCAGAGUCUGCAGAGCAUUCGGCUUCUACAUUACCUCCUCUCCCAACCACAUCAUCUGAGCGCAAAAAUCGAUCAACAGUUUGGGACCACUUCAAGAGAACAUCUAAUGAUGAAAAUAAGGCUCAAUGUCAACACUGUUUGAAAGUGAUCAAGUGCGGGAAUGGAACAAGUGCAAUGAGAUCACAUUUAAAGAUUUGCAUCAGCAAUCCCAGUUCAGAUAGAGGCAAACGACAGAAAACAGGCACAUCGCCUAGCCCAGAAGCACAAGUGGGUAGGUUUGAUGCAGAAUAU